AUUGAACGCUGGCGGCAUGCCUUACACAUGCAAGUCGAACGGUAACAGGUCUUCGGAUGCUGACGAGUGGCGAACGGGUGAGUAAUACAUCGGAACGUGCCCGAGAGUGGGGGAUAACGAGGCGAAAGCUUUGCUAAUACCGCAUACGAUCUCAGGAUGAAAGCAGGGGACCGCAAGGCCUUGCGCUCACGGAGCGGCCGAUGGCAGAUUAGGUAGUUGGUGGGAUAAAAGCUUACCAAGCCGACGAUCUGGAGCUGGUCUGAGAGGACGACCAACCAGACUGGGACAGAGCACCGGCCCAGACUCCUACGGGAGGCAGCAGUGGGGAAUUUUGGACAAUGGGCGCAAGCCUGAUCCAGCCAUGCCGAGUGCAGGAUGAAGGCCUUCGGGUUGUAAACUGCUUUUGUACGGAACGAAAAGACUCUGGUUAAUACCUGGGGUCCAUGACGGUACCGUAAGAAUAAGCACCGGCUAACUACGUGCCAGCCGCCGCCGUAAGAC
rnacentral:rRNA from 1 species